GUCCCUGUUGAGCAAUGAGUAGCCCAUUGGACUUUUAAUCCAAAGGUCGUGGGUUCAAAUCCUUCCUGGGAUG